ACGGGUGAGUAAUGUCUGGGGAUCUGCCCGAUAGAGGGGGAUAACCACUGGAAACGGUGGCUAAUACCGCAUAGCGUCGCAAGACCAAAGAGGGGGACCUUCGGGCCUCUCACUAUCGGAUGAACCCAGAUGGGAUUAGCUAGUAGGCGGGGUAAUGGCCCACCUAGGCGACGAUCCCUAGCUGGUCUGAGAGGAUGACCAGCCACACUGGAACUGAGACACGGUCCAGACUCCUACGGGAGGCAGCAGUGGGGAAUAUUGCACAAUGGGCGCAAGCCUGAUGCAGCCAUGCCGCGUGUAUGAAGAAGGCCUUCGGGUUGUAAAGUACUUUCAGCGGGGAGGAAGGCGGUGAGGUUAAUAACCUUGCCGAUUGACGUUACCCGCAGAAGAAGCACCGGCUAACUCCGUGCCAGCAGCCGCGGUAAUACGGAGGGUGCAAGCGUUAAUCGGAAUUACUGGGCGUAAAGCGCACGCAGGCGGUCUGUUAAGUCAGAUGUGAAAUCCCCGGGCUUAACCUGGGAACUGCAUUUGAAACUGGCAGGCUUGAGUCUCGUAGAGGGGGGUAGAAUUCCAGGUGU
rnacentral:rRNA from 1 species